rnacentral:rRNA from 1 species
AGAGUUCGAUCCUGGCUCAGGAUGAACGCUGGCGGCGCGCCUAACACAUGCAAGUCGAACGGCACCCCUCUCCGGAGGGAAGCGAGUGGCGAACGGCUGAGUAACACGUGGAGAACCUGCCCCCUCCCCCGGGAUAGCCGCCCGAAAGGACGGGUAAUACCGGAUACCCCGGGGUGCCGCAUGGCACCCCGGCUAAAGCCCCGACGGGAGGGGAUGGCUCCGCGGCCCAUCAGGUAGACGGCGGGGUGACGGCCCACCGUGCCGACAACGGGUAGCCGGGUUGAGAGACCGACCGGCCAGAUUGGGACUGAGACACGGCCCAGACUCCUACGGGAGGCAGCAGUGGGGAAUCUUGCGCAAUGGGGGGAACCCUGACGCAGCGACGCCGCGUGCGGGACGGAGGCCUUCGGGUCGUAAACCGCUUUCAGCAGGGAAGAGUCAAGACUGUACCUGCAGAAGAAGCCCCGGCUAACUACGUGCCAGCAGCCGCGGUAAUACGUAGGGGGCGAGCGUUAUCCGGAUUCAUUGGGCGUAAAGCGCGCGUAGGCGGCCCGGCAGGCCGGGGGUCGAAGCGGGGGGCUCAACCCCCCGAAGCCCCCGGAACCUCCGCGGCUUGGGUCCGGUAGGGGAGGGUGGAACACCCGGUGUAGCGGUGGAAUGCGCAGAUAUCGGGUGGAACACCGGUGGCGAAGGCGGCCCUCUGGGCCGAGACCGACGCUGAGGCGCGAAAGCUGGGGGAGCGAACAGGAUUAGAUACCCUGGUAGUCCCAGCCGUAAACGAUGGACGCUAGGUGUGGGGGGACGAUCCCCCCGUGCCGCAGCCAACGCAUUAAGCGUCCCGCCUGGGGAGUACGGCCGCAAGGCUAAAACUCAAAGGAAUUGACGGGGGCCCGCACAAGCAGCGGAGCAUGUGGCUUAAUUCGAAGCAACGCGAAGAACCUUACCAGGGCUUGACAUGCUGGUGAAGCCGGGGAAACCCGGUGGCCGAGAGGAGCCAGCGCAGGUGGUGCAUGGCUGUCGUCAGCUCGUGUCGUGAGAUGUUGGGUUAAGUCCCGCAACGAGCGCAACCCCCGCCGCGUGUUGCCAGCGGGUGAUGCCGGGAACUCACGCGGGACCGCCGGCGUCAAGGCGGAGGAGGGCGGGGACGACGUCAAGUCAUCAUGCCCCUUAUGCCCUGG